rnacentral:tRNA from 1 species
UAUCCUCUUAGUUAAAUGGAUAUAACAAGCCACUCCUAAGGGCUAAUUGUAGGUUCGAUUCCUGCAGGGGAUGU